UACGGGGGGGGCAAGCGUUGUUCGGAAUUAUUGGGCGUAAAGCGCACGUAGGCGGCUUUGUAAGUUGGAUGUGAAAUCCCUCGGCUCAACCAAGGAAGUGCAUCCAAAACUACAAAGCUUGAGUACUUAAGAGGAUCGCGGAAUUCCCGGUGUAGAGGUGAAAUUCGUAGAUAUCGGGAGGAAUACCAGUGGCGAAGGCGCUGGGCUGGACGGGCAUUGACGCUGAGGUGCGAAAGCGUGGGGAGCAAACAGG
rnacentral:rRNA from 1 species